GACGAACGCUGGCGGCGUGCCUAAUACAUGCAAGUAGGACGCAGUUGCGAACGGGUGAGUAACGCGUAGGUAACUACCUAUUAGAGGGGGAUAACUAUUGGAAACGAUAGCUAAUACCGCAUACUAGUAGAUGGACCUGCGUUGUAUUAGCUAGUAGGUAGGGUAAUGGCCUACCUAGGCAACGAUACAUAGCCGACCUGGGAGGGUGAUCGGGCAAACUGGGACUGGGACAAGGGCCAAACUCCUACGGGAGGGAGCAGUAGGGGAACUUCGGCAAUGGGGGGAACCCUGACCGAGCAACGCCGCGUGAGUGAAGAAGGUUUUCGGGUAGUAAAGCUCUGUUGGUAGGGAAGCGGUACUUAACCAGAAAGGGACGGCUAACUACGUGCCAGCCGCCGCGGUAAUUC
rnacentral:rRNA from 1 species